rnacentral:lncRNA from 1 species
CCCACAAAGCUUUGCAUCAACCAUGGAUUUUGCUGGCUGCAAGUUUAGCUUUUUUUGGCUUGCUACGAGCUUUCUGUAAACAAGACAAUCACCUAAGUGCCUUAUCAAAUGGUUGGGUGAUCCAAUACUAAUCAUAUCAUAAUUUUUGUGACAAUGUAGGCACUCCCAUCUCUUGGUUUCAUUCUUCAAAUUAACUUCUUUGAAGUGAUCCCAAGUUAAAGAAGUCUUCUUCCUCUUUGCCUUUUAAAUAACAUCUUCACUAUGUUCAGCAUUUUUCGCUCCCCUAACUUCAUCAUUAGUGCUAAUUCAUUAUUUCUUGGUGCCCCUUCAUUUCUCUUGGUGCUCCUUCAUUUAUAGUUGCAUCUAAAUUAACUAUAGUCUGAAUUGAUGAGCUAGUUGAGAUAUUUCUACCAUAAAUUUUUUAUUAGUACACAGAGAAAGCAAGUGACAAUUGGAAUAGUUAAUAGUUAAAAUAUAAUAACUAAAAUAAAAAAUUAUUAUGAACUCAUGCCUUAUUAGAAUGAUGAGAUGUUUGUGACUUCUUAUACAAUUAAAAGACAAAAAUAGUAAGUUAAGAAUAAAGACUGAUUCUUAAAAGAAAAUUCAAAGAGCAAAUAAGUUUGCUACAAAAACUAGGACCAUAUAGAUAUGUAAUAUUCACAUGCACUAUCUAAUUAUAAUGAUAACUAAAUGGUGGAAGGUGGAAAAGUAAUAUUCCAUUUCCUACAUACCCCUGUUCAAUCUUGAAUGACCAAAGUAGUGCUUCUUGAAACUUGUUAACAAAAAUAUCUGAAUGAUUUAGUAUACUACUGGGUUGAAUUAAAAAUGUAUUAAUAACAAAAAAAGAAUAAAAAGCAAUGUCUAUGGAAUCAAACAAAGAACUUGAAGGUUUGUAAAAAAGUGUAAAAAUCAAUGAAACUCUAAACAAUUAGACAAAUCAAUAACCAAUAAAUAACCAAAAUUAUAUAAAUAAGUAAAAAUAGCAUAAACAAUGUUGGUUGUAGUCCCUCAAUUACCUUUGUGCUUAGAUUUGUCUAUUUGUAAAGUAUGUCCUCCACUUCUUUCUUUUUUGUGAAAUAUGCUUGAGAGUAAUUGUUUCUUCUGUUCUUUAUUAAUAAAAAUGAGUAGAUUAGAGUUUGAUAUUUUGCUGUCUUUGCAUUUUCUUUCUCACAUUGCCUCUCCAUCUUCUUUCUCCUUUCUCUACAUCUUUUUAUUAGGUUGCUGCUUGCGUUUUCUUUUUCUAUUCACUAAAGUACUGGACAUUUUCUUUUUUAACCAUAAAACCCAUUAGCCCAUUUGCCUAAUGCAUGAGACUUGAGAAUAAACAUAAAAAUUAAUUAGUUUAUAUAUAGGGACGACUAACAUAAGAAUAUGGGACUAUUGUAAAAAAUAAGAACUUUGAUUUGUACUCAUUAGAUCUAAA